rnacentral:rRNA from 1 species
CAGCCGCCGCGGUAAUACGUAGGUGGCAAGCGUUGUCCGGAAUUAUUGGGCGUAAAGGGCUCGCAGGCGGUUUCUUAAGUCUGAUGUGAAAGCCCCCGGCUCAACCGGGGAGGGUCAUUGGAAACUGGGAAACUUGAGUGCAGAAGAGGAGAGUGGAAUUCCACGUGUAGCAGUGAAAUGCGUAGAGAUGUGGAGGAACACCAGUGGCGAAGGCGACUCUCUGGUCUGUAACUGACGCUGAGGAGCGAAAGCGUGGGGAGCGAACAGGAUUAGAUACCCCAGUAGUCCCUGUCUCUUAUAC